UACAGAGGUCCCGAGCGUUGUUCGGAUUCACUGGGCGUAAAGGGUGCGUAGGUGGUGGGAUAAGUCGGAUGUGAAAUCUCGGAGCUUAACUCCGAAACUGCAUUGGAAACUGUCCUGCUAGAGGGUUGGAGGGGGGACUGGAAUACUUGGUGUAGCAGUGAAAUGCGUAGAUAUCAAGCGGAACACCGGUGGCGAAGGCGAGUCCCUGGACAACACCUGACACUGAGGCACGAAAGCUAGGGGAGCAAACAGG
rnacentral:rRNA from 1 species